GUCCAUUGAUGAGACCAAGGCAAAUACGAGCUGAUUGGCUGGGAUGUUCUGUUCUCUUGCUUUCUGAUUGGUGGGUAAUCUUGGCAGAGCAGCGGAGAUUGGCUGCACUACUGUAAGGGCCCACCUAUAGUCAUACCAGCUGCCACUCAGAAUACAUACAGUUUUCCUUUUAAAUAUGGAAACUUGUGAACGAGUUGCAGCUUACAUACAGUGUGGGGGGUGUGUGUAUGUCCCAUCUGUCUGAGUGUGUGUGUAAAUGUGUCUAUCAGCAAAGAGUCACGUCUCUCUAAUGGCCACAUCAGCUGUGAAUGUUUUCUUUGGUAAUCUGAGGGCA